CCUACGGGGUGCAGCAGUAGGGAAUCUUCCACAAUGGGCGAAAGCCUGAUGGAGCAACGCCGCGUGGGUGAAGAAGGUCUUCGGAUCGUAAAACCCUGUUGUUAGAGAAGAAAGUGCGUGAGAGUAACUGUUCACGUUUCGACGGUAUCUAACCAGAAAGCCACGGCUAACUACGUGCCAGCAGCCGCGGUAAUACGUAGGUGGCAAGCGUUAUCCGGAUUUAUUGGGCGUAAAGGGAACGCAGGCGGUCUUUUAAGUCUGAUGUGAAAGCCUUCGGCUUAACCGGAGUAGUGCAUUGGAAACUGGGAGACUGGAGUGCAGAAGAGGAGAGUGGAACUCCAUGUGUAGCGGUGAAAUGCGUAGAUAUAUGGAAGAACUCCAGUGGCGAAAGCGGCUCUCUGGUCUGUAACUGACGCUGAGGUUCGAAAGCGUGGGUAGCAAACAGGAUUAGAUACCCUUGUAGUC
rnacentral:rRNA from 1 species